AACAAACGCUGGCGGCGUGCCUAAUACAUGCAAGUCGAACGGGGAAAGCUUUCGGGUGAAUACUAGUGGCGCACGGGUGAGUAACGCGUGGAUAAUCUGCCUUAGAGUGGGGGAUAACUAGUCGAAAGAUUAGCUAAUACCGCAUAAGACCACAAGAACUGCGGUUCAAGGGGUCAAAGGUUUUUCGCUCUAAGAUGAGUCCGCGUAAGAUUAGCUAGUUGGUAGGGUAACGGCCUACCAAGGCGACGAUCUUUAACUGGUCUGAGAGGAUGAUCAGUCACAAUGGAACUGAGACACGGUCCAGACUCCUACGGGAGGCAGCAGUAGGGAAUAUUGCACAAUGGAGGAAACUCUGAUGCAGCGACGCCGCGUGAGUGAUGAAGGCCUUCGGGUCGUAAAGCUCUGUCGCAGGGGAAUAACACAAUGAAGGUACCCUGUAAGAAAGGAUCGGCUAACUUCGUGCCAGCCGCCGCGGUAAUAC
rnacentral:rRNA from 1 species